UACAGCAGUAACCGCUACCUGCACGACUGUUGAUAACAGUUGAGUCAUGGUGAUAUAAUGAUUGGGAACAAAGUCUAAUCACAACUCCCGAAAACAGUUAUUCGACGCUGUGCAGGCGACUACACGGGGAAGUGCGCUAGGUAAACUCCAGGAUUUGUCUGUUGUUCCAUUCAGUCUUACACUGACAGGCUAUGCAGUAAACUACAGGGCAAAAUGUCAUCUCGGAUACUGAAGACCAUUUGGGGGACCGUGGCUGUACUGUUGAGGUUUGUGACGAUAGUCACUCUCGCUAACAUCGGAAGAAUAUUUCCUCCGGUCAAACGACUGUUUAUUAAUUUUCUAGACAAUGGCCUAGCCGAUACCUCGGUGAAUGGAACCGACGUGUACGAGUCGAUCCUCAAGGUGAAAAACUGGAAACUGAUUCUAGAAGAAUGGUUACUGGAUGCAGGCUCCCAUCCUGAAGAGAAGUGUAGAGCCCCCGACGCAGUUGUCUGGUCAGCAGACGGCAAAACCAAACAUCGUCUGCUGGACUUCAUGAAGAAGGGGCGCCCUCUGGUUCUCAACUUUGGAAGCUGUAGCUGACCUCCCUUUAUGGCCAAACUGGCCAAGUUCAACGACAUUGUUCAAAAGUAUGGACAUAUCGCUGACUUUCUUCUUAUUUACAUACAGGAAGCCCACCCAACCGACGGAUGGAAUUUGAAUAAUAAUAAGUACCAAAUUGGAACCCCUCAAAGUAUGGACGACCGAGUAGAGGCGGCCGAGAUGCUAAGUGACGAGGAUUUAAGAUGCCCCCUAAUUCUGGAUGACUUAACAGAUAAUGCUUGCAAGAAGUACCUUUCCCUCCCAGAGCGGCUGUACAUUAUCCAAGAUGGCGUGAUUGUGUUAGCUGGAGGAAGAGGGCCGGGCAAAUACAGUACACAAAUAGUGGACGACUGGCUCAGCGCCUACAGAGGGCGCUAGUUGAAACAUGCGCAGUCCUACAUAUAUAGACAGCAUAUAUCGUCUAUACCAUUGUUGAUUAUGCUUGGCGGCGUGGAUCAUUGGAGGUCCGACAUAGUGUGGUUCUUCAGACUGCCUACAGGCCGCUCGGUAAUCGAACGUCUGGACUCUGAACCGAACAUAUUUUACAGAAAAUACAGUUCCUAAAUUAUAUACAUAAAAUAAUAUGAAUAGAAAACUGAAACUGAAGUAAUCUAGACUUGCCACAUAUUCUAGACUUGCAUUGGUAGAUUUGUUUCAGAGUCUGUAUGACAGACUAGCCGCUCGGAUAUCUUUGGAAUAUUGGUAACUGCGGUGUCAUACACUCAGCAAUAAGACUGCAGUUUAAACAAUACCUAUUAUGCAGGCUUCAUGAAC